CCUUCGGAUCUAGUGACGCACGGGUGCGUAACGCGUGUGAACCUGCCUUUAGGUUCAGGAUAGGAGUUAGAAAUGACUGCUAGUACCGGAUGAUGUCUUCGGACCAAAGAUUUAUCGCCUUUAGAUGGGCCCGCGUUGGAUUAGCUAGUUGGUGGGGUAAAGGCCUACCAAGGCGACGAUCCAUAGCUGGUCUGAGAGGAUGAUCAGCCACACUGGGACUGAGACACGGCCCAGACUCCUACGGGAGGCAGCAGUGGGGAAUAUUGGACAAUGGGCGAAAGCCUGAUCCAGCAAUGCCGCGUGAGUGAUGAAGGCCUUAUGGUUGUAAAGCUCUUUUACCAUGGAUGAUAAUGACAGUACCUGGAGAAUAAGCUCCGGCUAACUCCGUGCCAGCAGCCGCGGUAAUACUGAGGGAGCUAGCGUUGUUCGGAAUUACUGGGCGUAAAGCGCACGUAAGCGGCUUUUUAAUUCAGGGGUGAAAUCCCGGGGCUCAACCCCGGAACUGCCCUUGAA
rnacentral:rRNA from 1 species